CGCCCUUGAGUUUGAUCAUGGCUCAGGAUGAACGCUGGCGGCGUGCCUUAAGCAUGCAAGUCGAUCGGAUCCCGCAAGGGACCAGAGGCGGACCGGUGAGUACAAGCAAGGAACGUACCCUAAAGUAUCGCACAGCUCGUCGAAAGACGGGGUAAUUCGGUAUGUGAACGUGAGUUUAAAGGGAGUAACUUCCCGCUUUAGGAGCGGCCUUGUGACUAUCAGCUAGUUGGUGGGGUAAAGGCCUACCAAGGCGAUGACGGUUAGGGGGUGUGAGAGCACGACCCCCCACAAUGGCACUGAGACACGGGCCAUACAUUUACGGAUGGCAGCAACUGGGAAUAUUCGGCAAUGGACGAAAGUCUGACCGAGCGACGCCGCGUGAGGGAUGAAUUUUUUUUUUUAUGUAAACCUCUUUUGCCAAGCAGUCGAUGCUUGGCGAAUAAGCACCUACAAACUACGUGCCAGCAGCCGC
rnacentral:rRNA from 1 species